rnacentral:rRNA from 1 species
GACGAACGCUGGCGGCGUGCUUAACACAUGCAAGUCGAACGCUGAAGCUUGGUGCUUGCACUGGGUGGAUGAGUGGCGAACGGGUGAGUAAUACGUGAGUAACCUGCCCUUGACUCUGGGAUAAGCCUGGGAAACUGGGUCUAAUACUGGAUACGACAUGUCACCGCAUGGUGGUGUGUGGAAAGGGUUUUACUGGUUUUGGAUGGGCUCACGGCCUAUCAGCUUGUUGGUGGGGUAAUGGCUCACCAAGGCGACGACGGGUAGCCGGCCUGAGAGGGUGACCGCCAACACGGGGACGGGGACACGGCCCAGACUCCUACGGGAGGCAGCGGUGGGGAAUAUUGCAAAAGGGCGGAAGCCUGAUGCAGCGACGCCGCGUGAGGGAUGACGGCCUUCGGGUUGUAAACCUCUUUCAGCACGGAAGAAGCGAAAGUGACGGUACGUGCAGAAGAAGCGCCGGCUAACUACGUG